AUACGUAGGUGACAAGCGUUAUCCGGAUUUACUGGGCGUAAAGGGCGUGUAGGCGGUCUUGCAAGUCAGAAGUGAAAUUCCUGAGCUCAACUCGGGCGCUGCUUCUGAAACUGCAGGACUUGAGUGCUGGAGGGGAUAGCGGAAUUCCUAGUGGAGCGGUAAAAUGCGCAGAUAUUAGGAAGAACAACGGUGGCGAAGGCGGCUAUCUGGACAGUAACUGACGCUGAGGCGCGAAAGCGUGGGGAGCAAACAGGAUUAGAUACCCUGGUAGUCCACGCUAUAAACGAUGAGUGCUAGGUGUCGGGGGUCAAACCUCGGUGCCGCAGUUAACACAUUAAGCACUCCGCCUGGGGAGUACGGCCGCAAGGCUGAAACUCAAAGGAAUUGGCGGGG
rnacentral:rRNA from 1 species